rnacentral:lncRNA from 1 species
UACCUUCUCCAGCUAAUUUUCUUUUCUAUUUCGUAGCCGGCGCAGCCUCCAAGUGCCUAGCUAAUGGUGGCAAGACCUCGCCACACCCUUUUAAGGGAUGGCAAGAAGCCAAGAUUCUCCGAUGUCUGAAAUUCACCAAUAGUGUUUGUUUAAAAUAUUCCCGUGCCGCCCUUCAUCAGAAGGUCACACCGGCUGUAAGAAUCGAGAAAACUUCANUCUCAAAGAACUGGGUGAAAGGGCUG